rnacentral:rRNA from 1 species
CCAUGCAUGUCUCAGUGCAAGCCACAUUAAGGUGAAACCGCGAAUGGCUCAUUACAUCAGUUAUGGUUCCUUAGAUCGUACCCACAUUACUUGGAUAACUGUGGUAAUUCUAGAGCUAAUACAUGCAAAUAGAGUUCCGACCAGAGAUGGAAGGAAUGCUUUUAUUAGAUCAAAACCAAUCGGUGGCGGGCUUGCCUUGCUCACCGUUUGACUUGGUGACUCUGAAUAACUUUGUGCUGAUCGCACGGUCUCGUACCGGCGACGCAUCUUUCAAAUGUCUGCCUUAUCAACUGUCGAUGGUAGUUUCUGCGACUACCAUGGUUGUUACGGGUAACGGGGAAUCAGGGUUCGAUUCCGGAGAGGGAGCCUGAGAAACGGCUACCACAUCCAAGGAAGGCAGCAGGCGCGCAAAUUACCCACUCCCGGCACGGGGAGGUAGUGACGAAAAAUAACGAUACGGGACUCAUCCGAGGCCCCGUAAUCGGAAUGAGUACACUUUAAAUCCUUUAACAAGGACCAUUGGAGGGCAAGCCUGGUGCCAGCAGCCGCGGUAAUUCCAGCUCCAAUAGCAUAUAUUAAAGUUGUUGCGGUUAAAAAGCUCGUAGUUGAAUCUGUGUCCCACACUGUCGGUUCACCGCUCGCGGUGUUCAACUGGCACGUCUGUGGGACGUCCUACCGGUGGGCGCAGCCCGUCAA